GAUGAACGCUGGCGGCGUGCCUAAUACAUGCAAGUCGAGCGAACAGACGGUGAGUUUGUUCUUUUGACGAUUGCGGAACGCGUGAGAGAAACAUGUGGAUAACCCCCUUGUAUGUCUGGGAACAUUAGGGAAAUGGGGAUAUACUAGCAUAGAAGAUAUUGAACCGUUGGGGGCGAUUGAGAACGUCGGCUUUGCGGUCUGAUAUAGCUGGUUCCGCGCUGCAUUAGCUAGUAGGUGAGGUAAAGGCUUACCAAGGCUACGAUGCGUAGCCGACCUGAGAGGGUGAUCGGCCACACUGGAACUGAGACACGGUCCAGACUCCUACGGGAGGCAGCAGUAGGGAAUCUUCCGCAAAGGGCGAAAGCCUGACGGAGCAACGCCGCGUGAGUGAUGAAGGUCUUCGGAUCGUAAAACUCUGUUAUUAGGGAAGAACAAAUGCGUAAGUAACUAUGCACGUCUUGACGGUACCUAAUCAGAAAGCCCCGGCUAACUACGUG
rnacentral:rRNA from 1 species